rnacentral:rRNA from 1 species
GAGUAACACGUAGGUAACGUACCCCAGGGCGGGGGAUAACCACAGGAAACUGUGGCUAAUACCGCGAAAGCUUAUGGACUCUUUGGGGACCAUGAGACAAGGCUUCGGCCACCCAGGGAUCGGCCUGCGGUCCAUUAGCUUGUUGGUGAGGUAACGGCUCACCAAGGCUACGAUGGAUAGCUGGUCUGAGAGGAUGAUCAGCCACACUGGCACUGAGACACGGGCCAG